AGUGGAAAGGUCAAGUGGGCCCACGGAGGUGUGCUCCCAGGGCUCAGUGACAGCACAGGGCCACAGAGGAGGGAUGUCAGAAGCUUCUGCAUGGAGGUGAGGUGUGAAAGCAUAGCAACAGUGGGGUGUCCGUGCAGCCGGCAUUUAGCAAGAGCCCCUCCUGUGUGUGCAGCUUGUUCAUCACUGUCAUUGCAUUGAAUCCGUACGCAGCAUCGCAAAGGCAGCGUUAACCCCGUUUGCUAGAGACGGAGCUCGGAGUGGCUGACGGGCCUCCUAACGUCACAUCACUUGGAAGUGACAGCACCGAAGUUCCAGCACGGGCCACCCGAUGCUUGUGACUGCCUUUUCUACUACCCUGCCCUUCCUCUCUGAGGAAGACGACGUAGGGAGAGAAAGGUGGAAGGUUCUAAGACCUUAGCUUUGGUGAUGGUGUCAUGGAGGCUGGUGAUGGCGUGGGGCUCAAGGAAUUGCCCACGCACCUGCCAGCGCGGCAGCCUGGGAACGGACGAAUCCUUGCCCCAAAGGCAGGGCUGUGCCUGUCAGAACCACGCAGCAAGCUCUUUUCUCCAUGGCCACUGAGAAUGAGCUAAUUUCUUCCCAUAGUGCUGUUGCAUUUAUCAUAAAGUCCAUUUGGCUAUCAUCUGUCGUAAAUAAGUAGGUUGCUAAAGCAAAGGGACAGAUCCUCUAAAUUUAUAAUCCCAGUAGUGGUUUGUAAACAGUUCAAACACGCGGAACGCCUGGUGGCUCAGUCGGUUACGUCUGACUCUUGAUCUCGGCUCGGGUCACGAUCUCACGGUUCGUGGACUCGAGCCCCACAUCGGGCUCUGCGCUGACAAAGCAGAGCGGAGCCUCCUUGGGAUUCCCUCCCUCCCUCUCGCUCUCUGCCCCUCCCCCACUCACGCGUGCAUGCACACCUGCGCUCUGAAAAAAUAAGCGCACAAACGUUAAAAAAAAAAAUGAAAAAAAAAAUAGUUCAAAUGCAGAGCGGAAGACAUUUGAGUCCUUAUCCCAAUGGCGCUAACAUGAAUGUGCUCGAUUAUAUAUUUGCAUAUAAUUCAGUCAUCGGCCGGUUCCUUCCCCGAAAGAGCGUCGUGUAGAGAAAGAGUG